CCAAGUGGGAAUUCUCAAAUCAACAGGACUGUUGGAAAAGCAGGGAGAGGGCUGGGCAAGUGUUCAGGUCACUGCUGUUUACAGGUUGCCCAGAGAAGCUGUGGCUGAUCCAUCCCUGGAAGUGUCCAAGGGCAGGUUGGACAGGCUUGGAGCAACCUGGGAGAGUGGAACAACCCAAAGCAUUCCAUGAUUCUGUGAGAAUUCCAGCUUAUUGUGCCCAGGAAAACAGGCAAUAGACACAAACUGUCAACACAUUUUGCCUCUCAUCCAAUAUUUACUGAUGGCCUGGGCUCCUUCCUGAGCUCCACCCCAAAUCCAGCCACCAGAAAGGUCCCUGAGAGGAGGAGAAUCAAAACAUCCACGUUGUGAAGCAGCCAAAGUUCCCAGAUCUGCAUCAGCUCCCAGCCUGAGCCCAGCAGCACGUGAGACAAAAGCGUGGCUGUGCCAAGAGCCAGCAGGGGCAGCAGGAGGAAAAGCACUGGAUUUGGAAGCACUGAUAAGAGAGCUGGAAUCACACAUUCCUGCCUGACAGCCCCUCCUUGCUCCCUGAGCUCAGAACCAGGGUCUGGACAAACUCCUUCAAGGACCAUCCAGGCCUUGGAAGGAAAACCUUCCCCUGAGGAUGCUCAGGUUGGGUUCCACCACCCAGAGCCGGCACUGCUCGUGCAGGUUUUAAAGCAGCAGCAAGAAAACAACAGGGACCGAAGUCGGUUUUUUCCACAUGAACUGGAAGGUUGUUAGUCAAGGACAAGAGGCCUCCAGGGCUGCACCAGAGCUGGAAAAUGGAGGAGUUUGGCGAUCUAAAUAAAUAUAUACACGUAUGUUUUUGUGCUCCAUCACAUUUGCCAAGACACGAGGGGUCACAGAUAUCUGUGAGCGUCAAGAUGAACAAAUACCACGGCCUGGCUUUGAAAACACAAUUCUGAUUCUUAACUUGAAGAGUUCUCAGUUCUCUCUGGCUGUGGCAACACUUUAUUUCAUCUCUCUCGUGGAGAGAGGAACUGCAACAACACACAUCAGUGUUUCCCUCAUCUUUGAAGCACUGAGAUUUUCCUCUGCUGCGGCCCAGACAUCCCCCAAAAAAAUCAUUUUAACACCAGAGAGAUGAAUCCAGCACCGAAGUGGAUCUAUCAGCUGUGACUUCCACCUCUGGCACUUCAAGGAGAGCUGUGGAAACCCAACCCAGGGGAAGCAGCUCGUGCUGUCACACGGGGAGCAGCUGCAGAGGAGCCAGGGAAGAAAACCCAGCAGGCAGAGAUCGUUUAAAACACAUUUUGUGAAGCAGCUGACAUCUGGAAACCAAGUGCUUACAUUGUUUGAACAACCUGUAAAUAGAAGGAAAACCUUCCUGGAUGGGCCCCCACAGAAAGCCCAGCAGAGAGAGGGCUUUGAAGGCACCCGAGGUGUCUGUGCUGCUCACUUUGAAGCUGCAGAUAAGGGUGAGCAGUGUAAAACAUGACUAUUAUCAGCUCUGGCAGACACAUCCUGACAUGAAAACAGCAGCUCCCUCACCGUGGUGAAUUCCUGAGCAAAGGGAGAGCUCUCCCUGCACGGGCACAGCCUCAGCCCCUGGCACAGGGGGUGGGUUCUGAACAGGGAGAAAACGCACUGGGAAGGGAGAGACACCUCCUGGAAGCACCUUUAAGUGAAGUCAGGGAUCUUUCCCACCAACAUCCAUACAAAUCCUCGCUCAAACUGGGAAAAAUCAGCGUCCCCAUGAGGCAGACAGAGGGUGUUUCAAGGGGGACCCCAAAUAGCCAACUUUUUCCAACCUGUGACAUCAUCUGACAUAUAAAAUCUCCUUCU